AGGUGUGAAGUUCAAUAAAGUUUUAUUUUUGCUUGAAAUAUUUAUUUUGAUUUAGUUUUAUAUGCAGUUUGUUGAUAAAAUAUGAUCUUGAUGAUUAUGUUUAAAUUUGUGGAGUGCAGUAUAUAAUUUUAGUAAUUGAAGAAGUUUAGAAUUAGUUAAUAUCAUUAAGUAUUGAUUUAAUAUGUGCCAGCAGUCGCGGUUAUACAUAUGAUGUAAAUAAAUAGUUUUAGUUAAUAGUUGAUUUAGAUUAAAAUAGUUAAUAUAUUUUGAUAAUUUUGAGGUGAAAUUGAAUAUUAUCAGUUAAUACUAAUAAUUUAAUAUUAUUGAGGCUAUAAAAUUUUUAUGGUAAACUAGGAUUAGAUACCCUAUUAUUUUAAAUGUAAAAUCUUAAGGCUUGAAUAGUAUUAGUUAAGAUCUUUAAACUUAAAGAAUUUGGCGGUAUUUUAGUCUAUUUAGAGGAAUCUGUCCCGUAAUCGAUAACCCACGUUGAACCUAACUUAAUUUAUAAGUAUGUAUACCGCCGUUUAUUGAAUAUUUUUUUAGGAGAUUUUCUUAGUAUAAGGAUAUAUACAUAUUAUUUCAGGUCAAGGUGCAGCAUGUAGUUAAGGGGAGAUGGAUUACAAUAUUUUAAAGUAUAACGGAUUAUAGAAUUGGAAUUUUUAUAUAAAGGUGGAUUUAAUAGUAAUUUUUUGUAGAUUAUAAAGAUGAUUUUAGCUCUAAAGUGUGUACACAUCGCCCGUCACUCUCGUUAAAAUUUAAAAUGAGAUAAGUCGUAACAAAGUAGGUAUACCGGAAGGUGUAGCUAGAUUGAAUU
rnacentral:ncRNA from 1 species